rnacentral:rRNA from 1 species
GACGAACGCUGGCGGCGUGCUUAAUACAUGCAAGUCGAACGGAAAGGCCAUGCUCUUGUGGGGUGCUCGAGUGGCGAACGGGUGAGUAAAACGCGAGUAACCUGCCCUUGAAUUUGGGAUAACUCCAGGAAACUGGGGCUAAUACAGGAUAGGAGCUCUUGCUGCACGGUGGGGGUUGGAAAGUUUCGGCGGUUGGGGCUCGACUCGCGGCUUAUCCGCUUCUUGGUGAGGUAGUGGCUUACCAAGGCUUUGACGGGUAGCCGGCCUGAGAGGGUGACCGGCCACAAUGGGACUGAGGUAGGGCCCAGACUGCAACGGGAGGCAGCAGUGGAGAAUAUGGCACAGUGGGCGGGAGCCUGAUGCGACAGCGCCGCGUGCGGGAUGACGGCCUUCGGGUUGUAAACCACUGUCGCCUGUGACGAAGCGUGAGUGACGGUAAUGGGUAAGGAAGCACCGGCUAACUACGUG